rnacentral:lncRNA from 1 species
UCGCGACUUUUUCGAUGUCUUUUGAUUGAAUCAUUAUAUUUUCUCAUUUGUUUCUUUCUCCUGAACCUUUUCUUCAACACCUACUUCUCUUCACCAGUUUUAUCAAGUGUUUGAAAAAGUUCUCUAAUUUGUGUAACUUUCAUUUUAAACGCGUACGUUUCGUGUAAAAAACGUCUCUCUAGAUACAUCCUUUUUUUUCAAGGUUGACUUUUCUCUGAAAAGAGGACUUGUCAGUGAGUGUCUGAUAAGUGCUGUUUGUGAAUUCUCGUUCAUUUCUACACAGAUUUCACGAAAACUGACAACCUCAGGAAAGAAACCAAGGACAAAGAUAAUCUUUUGGUACCACGAAAGUUAUAAGUUUAGAAAGGUCAUGAAGACGAACAGAAACUUGUUUGAGAUUACAUAAAGAAUGACUUCUUCAAGAAUCUAAACAAAGUGUCAAAGUCGACGCCAUCAUUUCUGACCACUUAGAGGAAAUGUUUAAGUAUUAAAUUUUGAAAAUUCUCUCUAUCUUAUGGUAAUAUCAUCUUGUAAUACGCAUGUGUGUUAAGACAGACGUUUGGUUACACAAAAACGCAUGCGUUUGAAAUUAAUUUUGUACCACAAGAUAGACAAUGUUUUAAAAUAUUAAAGAAAUCUUUAGGGAAGCGGUGGGUGUGGUGGGGGAGGUUCGAUGGAGAAACGAUCUCAAAUUGUAAUGUUGCUGUAUUAAAAUGGAGAGAAAUAAAUUCUAAUACUAUUUCGAUACAUAUAUAUAUUAAGCUGUUGCUGUAUUAU